UUGCCUAUCUAGAUGCUAGGACCUCUAGGCCUGCAGGGACCCACCCACAUACAGCUUCCUGGGACCUAAGGCCAGGAAAGCCCCCAUCUCUGCUUAAAGCAAAUUCUGCUGGGAGGGCUGGGACCCCAGCUGGGCUCUGGGCUCUGGGCCCUGGGAAAGUCCUGCUCCCUACAGGCCAGCCUUGGGGCAUCACUUCUGGCAACAUUGUGACAGGGAUGAGUCUGCUGAGGCGGAUAUGGCGGAACACCACUUAGAUCUUUCUUCCAAAGGAACAUGCUGGAAAGCUGGAGGCGGGAGUUGGCUGGCAGCCUCUGCUUCAGCACCCUCAGCAUCUUUUGUGGUGUGUGAGCCUUAGCCCUUUCUGCAGGCAACUCCAUACUUCUCUGGAAACUCUGGGACCAGACAGAGCAGACAGAGUCUGGUGCUUCUGCCCAGUGCACUCCUCCGCAGGACUGCUUGCUUAGCUCACAUAGCAUCAUGGGCUGAGACUCUCUCUCCAGGGCCAGGCUCCAUGCCAUCAGAAGCCUUCUCUCUCUAUACCAGCUUUUUUCUUCUCUUGUGGGCUUUGCCCACUGCAAUCUCUGCCAGCGUUAUCUGCCUCUGCUGUGCCUCCCCAAAGACCAAAACCAUCUGCCCAUUAGAUACUCUUUGUAGCCAAGGUCUGAAUGGAACAAUAAAACAUGACCCAGCAGGUCAGCUGGAGGCCCAAGAUGCAGAGACCUUCUCUAGUGCCUGUGUGACUGAGCCACCCAGAAGUUAGAAGACAAUGGUUUGGGAACAGUUAUCCGUCACUGCCAAGCAUGGGAAGGGAAGCCCAGAUGUGAAUCUAAGUGAAUCCCAGUGAUCAGGACGCCUCCCAGUUUCUCAUCCUGCUAAUACACUAGAACCUCCCAGGAUUCUGCAUAAGAGUCAGCCAUCAAGAUGAUGGGACCCCCAUCUACAGCAUCCUGCCCAGGCUGCCAUCUUGGUGGGGAUGGAGGCUUGUGCCCCUGGCAGGCUUCCCUUCACGAUCUACCGUCUGUGGCUUAUCCUGUCUUACAACUCCCGAGUGAGCCUCUCAAGUUUAAAACAUCUGACCCUGGGCAUGCCCAGCUACUUGGUUGGCUGAGAUCUAGGACCCAAUUGAGGUUCAUCUGCAGAAGCUGGUGCCCGAACAGGGACUCCUGGACAGAAUGCUGCAGGAGCAUGCUAGCUUCCAGAAUGAUUCGUGUGACAGGCUGACCUGUGUGUUGCUGAGUGAAAGCUGUAUCGGGCGCACAGAGAAAGAGGAAAGCAGGGAGAGCAGACACUUGCAAGCAAAAUGAAGAGACUCUCCUUAUCUCUGCCCCGGGCUGCAGCGAUGAGAACUGACCUGGUGCCGACUUAAAAACAACUAAAGAAGCUGACUUGUGAGGCAGAGGGACUGGUACAGAGAAUGGG